GGGAUCCGCCAGCCCGUCCAGCAGCACCAUGUGGGUGACCAAACUUCUGCCAGCCCUGCUGCUGCAGCAUGUCCUCCUGCAUCUCCUCCUGCUCCCCAUCGCCAUCCCCUAUGCAGAGGGACAAAGGAAAAGAAGAAAUACAAUUCAUGAAUUCAAAAAGUCAGCAAAGACUACCCUAAUUAAAAUAGAUCCAGCACUGAAGAUAAAAACCAAAAAAGUGAAUACUGCAGACCAAUGUGCUAAUAGAUGUACUAGGAAUAAAGGACUUCCAUUCACUUGCAAGGCUUUUGUUUUUGAUAAAGCAAGAAAACAAUGCCUCUGGUUCCCCUUCAAUAGUAUGUCAAGUGGAGUGAAAAAAGAGUUUGGCCAUGAAUUUGACCUCUAUGAAAACAAAGACUACAUUAGAAACUGCAUCAUUGGUAAAGGACGCAGCUAUAAGGGAACAGUAUCUAUCACUAAGAGUGGCAUCAAAUGUCAGCCCUGGAGUUCCAUGAUACCACACGAACACAGCUAUCGGGGUAAAGACCUACAGGAAAACUACUGUCGAAAUCCUCGAGGGGAAGAAGGGGGACCCUGGUGUUUCACAAGCAAUCCAGAGGUACGCUACGAAGUCUGUGACAUUCCUCAGUGUUCAGAAGGUAAAUAAACCUGAAUGCCAUGUGGGCCAUUCUAUUCCCCCAUGUGUAGAACUGUAACUCACAUUAAGGGUUAACAGCAACAAAUCAAUCAUAAUAAACAUGUUGUUCAUGCAAAUGCAACUACAAAUAAUUAUUUAAACAUUUUUAUACAAUGUUUUUAAAACUGUUGGAUUAUCACCAGAUUAAUGCAAAAUAACAGAGCG
rnacentral:sRNA from 1 species